UACGGGGGGGGCAAGCGUUGUUCGGAAUUACUGGGCGUAAAGGGUUUGUAGGUGGCUCGCUAAGUCAGACGUGAAAUCCCUCAGCUUAACUGGGGAACUGCGUCUGAAACUGAUGAGCUCGAGUGCAGGAGAGGAACGCGGAAUUCCAGGUGUAGCGGUGAAAUGCGUAGAUAUCUGGAGGAACACCGGUGGCGAAGGCGGGUUGCUGGGCCGACACUGACGCUGAGGCGCGAAAGCUAGGGGAGCGAACGGG
rnacentral:rRNA from 1 species